rnacentral:lncRNA from 1 species
UGAUUCAGUCUUUGCCAUGCUGUCUUUUCAUCUGCUGCCAUCCUUCUUCUGUUUGAGCCAGAGACCUCAUUAUCGUCUAAUCGCCACAAGUAAAGGUCAGAGUGUCUGCUCUUUUCUAUUCUGCCGUCGUCGGACACGUCUGUUAGUCAAGAGCUUAUUAGUUCUGGCCUUUCGUCUCUUAAAGAUCAGCUCGGACUCGCCACCAGACCGACGCUGAUUCAUUUUCAAUGCU